AGGACCUCUAGCCAGGAUCUCCAGCCAAAGUUCUGUCUAGGAACUCCAGCCAAGCUCUGAUACUCACAUGGAAAGAGCUGCAAGGUACUGCAGAUUCUGUUUCAAGUCAGCUCAGACACGAGCCAUUUCUCUCUCUGGUUUGAAAGCUUGCAACUCCGAAGAUCCAAAUCCAAUUCUUUGCCUCCUAACAUCAAUCAUUAGAGUGUUUUAUCCUUCUGGAAACUUAUAUAUAGAGACCUAUAGAGAAAGGUAACCUGCCUUGGAAGUUUAAAAUAAAAUUCACAAUAAUGAAA